rnacentral:tRNA from 1 species
GCUCCCAUCGUCCAACGGUCAGGGCAACUGAUUUUCACUCAGAAGACGUCAGUUCAAUUCUGACUGGGAGUACCA